rnacentral:lncRNA from 1 species
GCCUCAGCCUCCCAAAGUGCUGGGAUUACAGGUGUGAGCCACCACGCCUGGCCACAUUUUAUUUUCCAUUCAUCAGUUGGUGAAUAUUUGGGUUCUACUUUUUGGCUUUUUUUUUUUUUUUGAAAGAGUCUCGCUCUGUCACCCAGGCUACAGUGCAGUGGCACGAUCUCAGCUCACUGCAACCUCUGCCUCCUGGUUCAAGCAAUUCUGGUGCCUUAGCCUCCCGAGUAGCUGGGAGGCGCCCACCACCAUGCCUGGCUAAUUUUUGUAUUUUUAGUGGAGACAGAGUUUCGCCAGGUUGGCCAGGCUGGUUUCAAACUCCUGACCUCAAGUGAUCCCCCACCUCGGCCUCCCAAAGUGCUGGGAUUACAGGCGUGAGCCACCGCGCCUGACCUUUGCUUUGUUUUUUUUUUUUUUUUUUUUUUUUUUUUGAGACUGAGUCUUGCUCUUUUGCCAGGCUGGAGUGCAGUGGCACGAUCUCCACUCACUGCAAGCUCUGCCUCCCGGGUUCAAGUAAUUCUCCUGCGUCAGCCUCCCGAGUAGCUGGGACUACUGGCGUGCACUACUACACCCAGCUAAUUUUUGUGUUUUUAGUAGAGAUGCGGUUUCACCACAUUAGCCAGGAUGGUCUCGAUCUCCUGACCUCGUGAUCUGCCCACUUCGGCCUCCCAAAGUGCUGGGAUUACAGGCGUGAGCCACUGCGCCCAGCUAUGCAGGAGCUUUUCGAAGUCUUUAUUUCUCCAUGUUUCUCUUUCCCCAGCCUCUUCCCUCCUAGGUGCUCUGGUGUGUCUGCUUCUGGCCCCAUCUGUUUUCCCUUGCUCCAGGUGGCUACAGCUGGCAUAUGCCUUUAAAUCCUUUCGACAAACACUGCUGGGAAGGUGGUUCCAAUGCUGAAAGUUCUGAGGGCGAUGAAACAAAGGCAAGCCUCUGAGUCAGUCCCUCUGGUUGCUGCCAGACUGGUCGAAAAAUACAACCACAGCUUUUUGAGAACAAGGACCUUAUUGGCCUCUCUGGCACAAGCAAGCUGCCCAAGGAAUGUGGGCCACCAUCUCCAUAGCUGCUUUCUGAACUGGGGAUUGAGAGGUGGCGAUCACAGGGCACGCCCUAAGAAACCUGCACACUAACCUCCCUCUCAGACACUGCUUCUGGAGAGCCCAACCUGUGACCGCUGGGUCAGGAGGGGUCUGAGGAAGAAGAUGCUAAGAUGGGAUUCUGGCUCUGGAUCACCCACUGCCUAGCUGCUGAUAAGGAUCCUUUUGCUGGGGGUAGAUGGAGCGGGUACAUGCCCCCGCACAGAGCAGAGUGCCACCUGCCCAGAACCGCUCCACGGUCCAUGGAGAUCGGUUUACUUCUCUUUUCGCCUGCUUCCGCAGCCAAGACUCAACUCCCUCCCAUCCAUGAGUUCUCUUGGAGUAUCUUUGUGUAAACAAGGUCUCAGUAACUAAAUCCUGUUUCCAUCUCCCUGCAUCAGUGUUCUCUGGCUGGGUGGGCGGAGCUCCUUUGGCUCGGUCCUGCUGAUGUCCUUAAAGGCCUCAGCCCGUGGAGUCAAAGCCUGGGGCCAGCGGCUGCAGGAUUCUAAACACUGUGAGUGCUCAGUUGCGCAGCUGGGUGUGGGACUGUGUGACGGCAAGAAGCAUCCAAAGGUGGACGUGGCCAGGGAUGGGAGGAGCCAUCGGAGAGGUGGUAAGGACAGCGACCGAGUUCCCCGAGAGAGGCGAGUCUUAGUAAUUCGGGAAUUCAGCCCCCACGACUGUGGUGAGUGAGGAGGAAGAAUGCGGAAUUGAGAGAUGGAAAAUGAGGCAGGCACUGGCCCCAGCCCUGGAAAGCCGUCCCUUCUCCUGUUCUGAAAGCCGACUUCUCCCACCUGGACGUGCACCCCAUCUCCCCGGGAGGCCCCGGAGCCUGGCUGCAGUCCGUCUGUCUGCCUGGCUCGCCGCCAUGGCUUUGCUCACCCCUCUCAUCUUUGCCAUGUUAUCUCUACACUUAGGAUUUGUGGUUUGUCUUGUACACUAAUAAACGGCAACUCUAUUAGGACAUGAACAGUGGCUUUAAAAUUUUUCUGACUCCAUGACUCUCUUCAUGGUAUAUUGCACACAGAAAGCCACUGGUAAAUAUCUGUUGAUUGAAGCACCUCAAAAAUCCAGAAAUAGAGCUGUGUGCAGAGUGAGUACUUAAUUCAUUCAGCCAUUCAGCAAGUAUUUAUUCAAUGUCUAUUAUGCAUGGGUGUGGUCACUGCCAUGGACACAGAGACCACUAUCCUGAACAAAGCAGACAAAAUAUUCAUCCUCGCCAGGCUCACGCCCAUAAUUUCAGCACUUUGCGAGGCCAAGGCCAGAAGAUGGCUUGAGCUCAGGAGUUUGAGACAAGCCUGGGCAACAUAGAGAGACUCCGUUUCUAGAAAAAGUACAAAAAUUAGCCAGGCAUGGUGGUGUGCGCCUGUCAUCCCAUCUACUCAGGAGGCUGAGGUGGGAGGACGGCUUGAGGCCGGCAGGUCAAGGCUGCAGUGAGCUAUGAUCUCACCACUGCACUGCAACCUGAGAGACAGAGCCAAACCCUGUCUCAAAAAAAAAGGUUCGGCCGGGCGCGGUGGCUCACGCCUGUAAUCCC